CCAGACUGGCUUGCUCCCACGGUCCCCUGACAUGUACCCCCCCUUGCCCCCCGCCCCAGCCACGGUCUGAGCUCCUGACUGGGCCCCGCCAGGUCACAUCCUUGUCCCUGUAAGCACGCAGCCAGCCGUGUGUGCCGGAGUGUCUGCUCUGUGCCUGCGUCAGCCAUGGGCUUCCGUGGUGUACAAGAUGCCGUCAGGUCUACGGCCCCCCUGACUUCAUUCUGGCUCUCACCGCCCCCUCAUUAGACAAGCUCUGCGGGGUUUAUGGGCCUCGAUCAUCAGAGACGAAAUAAAAGCGCCUGCGCCCGGUGGUGGCAGAGCGGGAGAGGAGAGCAGUGGGUGGGGGCCGGAGGUUUGUCUUUCCUGCCCUGCUCCUAGGGCCAGAUGCUCACCACACCCGCCCUUGAGCUCCAAGGAGAUGGACUCAGCCCUCAGAAUGUGCUCUAGUCAGGCAGGGGCCUGCAUGCAGACUAGGGACUAGGGAGCCGCCACAGGAAAGUGAGCGGCCCAGAUGGGGGAGCCGUGCCUCUCCUGGGCAGUAUCUACUUCCGGGAGACCCCGUAUUGGAGAAGGGGGCUCGGGCGUCCCUAUGGUGAUGGUGCCGUCUGAUGGUGCCCUGAAUGAGUGGCAGGGCCUUCUGGGCUCCAGCGAGGGGAGUGGAGACUGCCGGGUUUGAGGGACAGAGAAGGAACAGGGGAAAAAAAACGGACUUGUCUUCUUCCUUUGACUGAACUCCUUAUGAUUAUCAGAAAGCAGCAGAGGACAAGAAGACAAAAAGGAAAACUUUCCCCCAACUUCAGACAGCGUGGCUAGGACCCAGGGACAGCACGCUGUUUGCUUUUUACAAAUUAUUCUGCUCGCACAAAGUAACGCCAGAGUUUCUACCAGAAGUACUUUCACUUGGAAUUCUGCUGUGCCCAAGAGGUUGGAAUGAGAAUCACAAAGGCUGCACCUGUCUUUUCCCUACCUGGCUACUCCGUGCCGCCCACUGGUAGACUUGCUACAUUUAGUUAAACUGCAACAAAAGAAACAACAAUGCAAUUAUUCUAUCUGGCCAUGAACUUGAAACUUCCUUGGAAAAAUCGGGUCUUUGAUUAUUUUUACUUGAUUACCACCAGUAACAUCCUGCACAUAUCAGUGAAAACAGAAAGCACCAUGAAAGAAAUCCCACCACCUCGAUCCACAGCACGUCAGGAGCUUUCUGACCCUCGUCACUCUCUGAAGACCAAACUCUCUGCACCACAGCCCCUCACUUCCUCAGCAGACACUUGGUCAGUGCUGAGGGGGAAGGAAACAUGGGGUGUCUGUCCUUCCCUCCCAAGAACCCCCACCCUCCAGCCAGUUAUUUCUUCCAGAAAUACACAAGCCCCUAAAGUCCAUAUUACUUCUCCCAGCUGCCAAGUCACCGAGUAGCUGGAAUAUUCAGUUCAGGGCUUCCUUGAUAUCAACUUCACGGCUACGGGUGAAAGCACUCGUCAGGACCAUGAGAGUACUUCACUGGCACAUCUCUCUGACUUUAAAAACCAGAUGAAACCGCCAAAUACUUGAGCCUUCUUACUUUAGCAUAAAGACCUGCAAUGUGGCAGAUU